UUAAUGCUAAUAGUGAUAGGG
rnacentral:miRNA from 1 species